rnacentral:ncRNA from 2 species
UCGCGCGUUUGUGGCGCUUUGUUUUCCGGAUUGCGGGCCACGUUAAACAAGCCGCUAAAGAGGAGCCCCGGUUCGCCCCGG